rnacentral:tRNA from 1 species
GCGGAAGUAGUUCAGUGGUAGAACACCACCUUGCCAAGGUGGGGGCCGCGGGUUCAAGUCCCGUCUUCCGCUCCA